rfam:Naumovozyma castellii CBS 4309 chromosome 2, complete genome
GCGGAUUUAGCUCAGUUGGGAGAGCGCCAGACUGAAGAAAAACUUCGGUCAAACAUCAAUUGUAAUCUGGAGGUCCUGUGUUCGAUCCACAGAAUUCGCA